UUUUUUUUUUUUUCCUGCCUGCCUGUGAUUGUGAAUUUACAAUAUGAUGUCCUAAGGUUUUGGUAAUAAAAUUAGAUUUUAUGUUGCUUUAACCAACCUUUUCACAACAUAUGCGCGCUUUUCUGAUUGGUGAAUGUUUACAUUUAUGCUUCAGUUCUCAAUUUGUGUAUUUGAAGCAAAACUAGACAGUCUUAUUAUCCUCUAUUUUAUGCAGCCUUCUUAGCUUUCUGAAUAAUUAUACUCACUUUGUAAAAGGUUAUACUUAAUGACAUUUUAAAUUCAGAAACUGAUUUCUGAAGUAUAAUAUGUUCUGGUGAUAUUUUAUAAAACUCAAUUCUUUAUGUCUUCUUUGUGGCAUUUCAAAUUUCUACUAAAUUGAAUUGCCUGUUAUCUUAUUUUGUUUUCAUUGUUAAAAUUUACUAUCUUUUAGAAUACUUAUGUCUAAAGUCUGCAGGUCUUGA
rnacentral:misc_RNA from 1 species